AGCAACCCUCUUCCAUUGGUUGCCAAGUUUUGUCAAUUUUCCGAUGUCUCUGACCUCCAUCCCUGUAAGGCCUCUAAUCCAGGCCCCAGCUCCGGCUCUUACCACCUGCUGGGACCAAUGUCCUAUCAUUUGGUCCCUUCUCUACUGGGUUCUCCCUCCUCCAUCUAGUUGUCACCAUGACCUUUCAGAUCUGACGUCACUGCCUCCCUAAAAAAACCAUUAGGGUGGGGCAGAGCCCCAGCCCUGAAGUCAGGAGGACCCGAGUUCAAAUCUGACCUCAGACACUUAACCCUUCCUAGCUGUGUGACCCCCAGCAAGCCACUUAACCCCAACUGGCUCAGCAAGCACAAACAAAAACCCAUCAGGAUUCCCUAGUGCCUGAAGGAUAGAAAUGCCCCCCUUACUUUGGCACUGAAGACCCUAACCCUCCUGCUUCCCUUUCUACUAACCUCCCUUUACUAUUUCUGCCAACUCAUAUUCCAUCUCUAGCAUCCCAGUCUCCUGUGCCUGGAACCCCUCAGGUCCAUAUUUUGGGUUGGCUCAGAGCUCUCUUCUGGUCCGCCCCUCCUGGGAAGCCUUCCCUGUUGUCCGGGCCCUCUUUUUUCUUUCCGGAUCACACAGGGGUCCCAAAGGUCUGAGUGCCUCUGUCACAUUGAGAUGCGACCUGUGUUCUCCACCUAGAACCUAAGGCCCCCAACUUCCAAAUGAGAAAACACCACCGUCUGGGCCGGGCUGCCACUAACCUGGGUCUGCUCCCCUUUCCAUUCGCGCCACUCCAGGCUUUGGCCCACCCGCUACUUCCUGGUCAGCCUCGGAGGUACCUCUCUGGGCCUCCAGCAGCGCAGUCUCCAUUAUACGCAAGCACAGUGGGUGGGGAGUGAGUUCUAGUCGGAGGCUUUAUUUGGCCCUGUGAAGUCUGGGCUGUCCAGGAGGAGAGAAGGGAGCGCAAAAUGCCCCAGCGCCGUUCUCUCCCCUUUCCCGGCGCCCUCUCCGCUGGGCGCUCCCUCCGCUGGGCGCCCCCUUCCAUGCCCCAGUACUUUCCCCUCUCCAGGCAAAGCCACGUCCCAGCAAACCGCCCUUGGGUGGGUGUUUUCUCCACGCUCCCCAGCCUUCCAACUCGCAGUCAGGCAUCGGCAUGAAUCAUUAAUAACGGCUGAAAGUGUUCCCCCUCCUAAGGGGAGUUGUCAUUUAAUAGGGAGAACAACGCGGUAACCUGAAGAAAGGCGCCUCUAACGGAAGGAGGACGGGGGAGGAUUUCUGGAGGAACCGGGAGUUUCCGCAGCAGCUGGCGGCGCCCUGCCCAGGUGAGACGUGACCCGGGAAGCAGGGCCGGGGCAGCGCGGCCGCGGCGGCCCCCCCCCCCCCCCCCGGGGCAGCGCGCUUUCAGUCCCGCCGUUCCUCCUCCCCCUCACGCGCGGCAUCGGCGCUCAGUCCGCCCCACCCCUGGUAAGCGACACCACGGGCGCACGAGCCAACACACACCUGCGCCAGAAGCUACAAACCCAGCUACCAAAGAACCGGGACCGCAACAAGAGAAUGGGGCCGGUUCGGGGGCCUGGCCGCGGAGGGAAGCUCCCCGGACCCGGGCCGCCCCUCAGUCCCCGGGCUCCCGCAGCCCCCAGGAAGGCCGAAGCGCCCGCGCAGUGACCCGGGGGAGACGCCUCAGCCCCGCCCCCUCAGCCCCGCCCCCUCACUGUCCUAGCCCCGUUGAUUAGCGCCGGGCUGGGAAGUCCGCUCGGCGCGGGACAAGUUUUCAUUCGAGCUCUUCCCUGCCUAGAGUCUGACUUUUUUUAGCCUUAACCCAAUUUCUCUCGGGCCUCGGCAGGAUGAACCACCCCCACAGUACGUUUAUUGCGCCCCCAGCCUUCCCUGCCCGCGAGGUACUGCAGUCUGGUGGCAGAAGCGGCAGACUGGGGUCCGAGGGUGAAAGCGACCCCAGCAUCAACAACAAUGUGGCGCGGGGGAGCGCGCGCUGGGCCUGCAGCCAGGGAGACCUGCAUUGGGAUUCGGCCUCAUCACUCCAGCAAGGGUGAUUCAGACCAGCUCCAUUGGUCUUGUAAUGGAGAGCCAUCUGCACCCGGAGAGAGGCUGUGGGGACUGAGUGGGGGCCACGACGUAACAUUCUCACUCUUUCUGCUGUUGUUUUCUUGCAUCUUGUUUUCUCUCAUUUUUUCCCUCUUUGAUCUGAUUUUUCUCGUGCAGCAAGAUAAUUGUGGAAAUAUGUGUACAAGAACUGCACAUGUUUAACAUAUUGGAUUACUUGCUGCCUAGGGGAGGGGGUGGGGGGAAGGAAAGAAAAAAAUUUGUAACACAAGGUUUUGCAAGGGUGAAUGUUGAAAAUUAUCCAUGCACAUAUAUUGAAAAUAAAAAAAAUUAAUUAAACAUUUUUUUAAAUGGGGAGACAUGUACUAAGAAUGGCAUUGGAUUUGGAGUCAGGAGAUUUGGGGUUGCAUCCUGGUCAAGUCAUUUCAACUUCCAGAGCCUCAGUUGCCAUAUCUAUAGAAUGGGGAUAAUCCUACUUUUCCACAGAGGACUGUUGUGAGGAAAUCAUUUUGUAUACCUGAAAAUGCUAAGUUGAUACAUUCUUCCCUGACUAAGACUGACAGCCAAGCUUGGCUCCAUCUGGAUUCUAAGUACUGUCAGAUAUGGUUGAUAACAAGGGCUGGCUUGGCUUAGCUGUUCCCUCCCCCACCUCUUUCUGAUUCAGUCUUUGCUCUAAGGGUGGGCCUCUUGAAUAGGGUGAGGAGGCAUAUGUUCCGAAAUGAGGGUGAUGCAAAAAAUAAGAUAUCAAAAAGUAUUCUUAUUAUGUGAUGUAGGAGCACCGAUGCAGAGCAGGACUCCAGACCAUUAAGUCCAAUCUCCUCGUUUGACAGAUGAAGAAACUGAGGAAAGCAGAGUUAGGCCCUCUCACUCCACAUCCAAAAUUCUCCACUGUACCACAAUUCCUAUGCUAUUAAUAAAAGAUGCCUAAAGUGGCUUCCAGUGCCAA